AGUGGCGGACGGGUGAGUAACACGUAAGAAUUUGCCUUUAGGAGGGGGACAACAACUAGAGAUGGUUGCUAAUACCCCAUAUGCUUUCGAGUGAAAUGGAUUUUUCCGCCUAGAGAGAAGCUUGCGGCUGAUUAGCUUGUUGGUGAGGUAAUGGCUCACCAAGGCGACGAUCAGUAUCUGGUUUGAGAGGACGAUCAGACACACUGGAACUGAGACACGGUCCAGACUCCUACGGGAGGCAGCAGUGGGGAAUUUUCCGCAAUGGGCGAAAGCCUGACGGAGCAAUACCGCGUGAGGGAUGACGGCCUAUGGGUUGUAAACCUCUUUUUUCAGGGAGGAAUCAAUGACGUGUACCUGAAGAAUAAGCAUCGGCUAACUCCGUGCCAGCAGCCGCGGUAAGACGGGGGAUGCAAGUGUUAUCCGGAAUCACUGGGCGUAAAGCGUCUGUAGGUGGUCCAAUAAGUCAACUGUUAAAUCUUGAGGCUCAACCUCAAAAUCGCAGUCGAAACUAUUAGACUAGAGUAUAGUAGGGGUAAAGGGAAUUUCCAGUGGAGCGGUGAAAUGCGUAGAGAUUGGAAAGAACACCGAUGGCGAAGGCACUUUACUGGGCUAUUACUAACACUCAGAGACGAAAGCUAGGGUAGCAAAUGGGAUUAGAUACCCCAGUAGUCCUAGCCGUAAACAAUGGAUACUAGAUGUU
rnacentral:rRNA from 1 species